rnacentral:lncRNA from 1 species
AGACUUUAAUAUACAACCUUGGUGUAAGGUUUUAAGCAUUAUUACCAUUAUCUAAAAAUUCAUAGAAAUGUAAGUCAGUAGGAAUUCCAUCUACACUUGAUACUUAUAGGAGUUGCUAUAUUACAAACUUAAAAAAAAUCUAUGUAAUAAGAUUUGGAUUGCUGAGCAUGUCCAUGUUAUAAUUCUACAUAGUAUGUACUCCAUUCCCUUGUUUUAAUAGUAUUUCGGCAGAGCUCCUGCUUGGUUCUUCAGAAAAUAGAAUACUCACACCUUGUGGGAGACGCUCAUCUGAAUCACCUGCAAAUAUAUAGAUUACCUGUGGGUUUUAUAAAAAAGUAACUAAUUAUCUUGCCGGCGCGGCCUUGUGCGAAUAUCCGAAAAAACAAGAAUGAGCAAUUUUGUUUUCAUAUACAGUAAUUAUCAACCUACUGAGAAUGCAGUAAACCAUAUAUCCACCUAAGCUUAUCAAGGGUCCAAUCAUAUAUGUACGCAUCCAUUAAUUCCAUCUCUUCAUCAUCAGGUGUCUAAUUAUGCAUCCAUUAAUCGAACAUAUCCAUCAGUUCCAUGUUUGUAUAACCAAGUACUAUAUGUAUAAGGAGCUGAACAUAGAUCAGACCUGAGAUUAAAUGGGUUGGAGCACGACCACCGUAUGUCCCAUCGGUCAGGUAGGAGCUUGAUACAUGACAGUACGUUUAGAGAGGCAUGAUUUAGAUGGAGAGGGCGUCCGGUCGUGGUGGAGGAUGGAAAAAACUUAAGGUGGGGCAAACUCAAAACUCAAAACUCUGGAUCGUGCUUGUUCCAGCGUUUGACACUUCGGCCACCUACUAUCAAUUAUCAAAAGAGCACUACUAUGUACGAUCCAGAGUAGUCACUUUGAGAAAUUCAGACCAUUGACAGAAAUUCAGACCACCUACUAUCAAAAAAGCACUACUAUGUAUGAUCCAGAGUUGACACUUUGACAGAAAUUCAGAAACACAGGUUCCAUUGUAGAGUUCAGAAAAAUUAGCACGCUGAUGCCCCUUGCCCCUACCUUUACUAUGUACUUCAUCUUUGAAUCUGCGGACAACCAAACAAUCAGUCAAUCUCCAAUCCCUGCAAAAUAAAUAUGUUCUUAGAAAUUUGGAAUACAAUU